GUUAGAAUCAUGAUUGGUACCCUGCUUUUCUAUGGACUUUACCCGUUGUCACGGUACCUGGCGCGUCGACAGACAGAGCCCUCGCAGAAGGAUCCCGCUCCUGCACGAGUUAAUGGCACAGCAGUGGGUGAUGGUGGUGGUGUCGUCACAGCCGGUCAGUUUACCCAUUGUCAAACAGCCCGACUGGAGAAGCAGCUCCCUUCAUGUCGAGGGUCAUGCGAAGCGGUGGAGGAAAGGAUGAGUGUACAAUGUGAGGAAGAUACCAAAUGUGAGACAGACACAGAACAAGGUUUGACAGUUCUAUUACACCAAAAGUCAAGUCAAGACCAGACUUCACUGACAAUGGCACCUGAAAAUUUGCGAGAGGUACAAUAUGAAGUGAAGGCUUUUAAACAAGAGGACAUAGAAGCUGCUCCGGUGUGUGAGCAAAACAACAAUAAAGGACUUUUAUUUCCAGUGCCUACCCCAGAGGAGCCAGUAAGUACUAUCCCACAGGAAGCAUUUAGUACUACCCCAGAGAAUGCGGUUUGUGAGCAACUUGAGCUUCUUGCUUCACCUGAAGGCAGCACACUUGAAGUCCAGUUUGUUCAGAAUAGUGCAGUGAGCCCAUCAGCCCCUCCUGCUGGGGGAUCAGAGUGCUGGGAUGACUACAUUGCAGUUAUUGAUGCCUCAAGUAAAAACAUAGAUGAAAGCUGCUCCAUUGUGUGUCUGGUACCUCCUGACUGUAGUUCUCAGACUGACAUAUCCUUUGCUGGACAACAGCCCACACAGCCAGGGUAUCAUUUUGCUGUGGGUCCUAGGCCUGACAAAUGAAGUCCAUUGUCCUCUGUGGCAGUAUCCAACACCCAGCUAUUAUCCUACAAUGGAGCACACCCCACCUUUUGAAGUAAUGUGGAGGGUGUGGGAGGACAUAGAAGACAGUUCUGCUGCAGACACACCAGCACUGGUACCCUUCCCCUUCACAAUGACCAAAAUGAACUUCACUGUCAUGUCCUACAACAUACUCAGUCAGGACCUGCUGGAAGCAAACCAGGACCUAUACACACAUUGCCCCC
ensembl:lncRNA